AUCAUCCUUAUUUUUAUUUUUCUCCAUAUUUUAACCCUAACAAAUUUCUAGCACUUUUUAGGGGACAACCUAGCUAUUUAUCAUUUAGCCCCACAAUAUCCCAAUAAUAAAUACUAAGCUUCUUAGAGCUUAAAACAGGAGUUCCUAAGUAUAUUAGGGAGGAGUCUGACUUCUAGUUAAAACUAAUAUCACUUUUCUUAGAAUUUGGUGCCCUG
rnacentral:lncRNA from 1 species